UACGAACAUAUCAAGUUGAAGUACUAGUUCUCGUAAGUUCACAGAAGUUAAGCAACGUCGAGCCUGGUCAGUACUUAGAUGGGUGACCGCUUGGGAAUACCAGGUGCUGUAAG